AACGAACGCUGGCGGCAUGCCUAACACAUGCAAGUCGAACGAGACCUUCGGGUCUAGUGGCGCACGGGUGCGUAACGCGUGGGAACCUGCCCUUAGGUUCGGAAUAACUCCCCGAAAGGGGUGCUAAUACCGGAUAAUGUCUUCGGACCAAAGAUUUAUCGCCUUUGGAUGGGCCCGCGUUGGAUUAGCUAGUUGGUAGGGUAAAAGCCUACCAAGGCGACGAUCCAUAGCUGGUCUGAGAGGAUGAUCAGCCACACUGGGACUGAGACACGGCCCAGACUCCCACGGGGGGCAGCAGGGGGGAAAUUUGGAAAAGGGGCGAAAGCCUGACCCAGCAAUGCCGCGUGGGUGAAGAAGGCUUUAGGGUUGUAAAGCUCUUUUACCCGGGAUGAUAAGGACAGUACGGGGAAAAAAAGCCCCGGCUAACCCCGU
rnacentral:rRNA from 1 species